GUCCUGAGAGGGAGAUCCCCCACACUGGUACUGAGACACGGACCAGACUCCUACGGGAGGCAGCAGUGAGGAAUAUUGGACAAUGGGUGAAAGCCUGAUCCAGCCAUCCCGCGUGAAGGAUGACGGUCCUAUGGAUUGUAAACUUCUUUUGUACAGGGAUAAACCUACUCUCGUGAGGGUAGCUGAAGGUACUGUACGAAUAAGCACCGGCUAACUCCGUGCCAGCAGCCGCGGUAAUACGGAGGGUGCAAGCGUUAUCCGGAUUUAUUGGGUUUAAAGGGUCCGUAGGCGGGCCUGUAAGUCAGUGGUGAAAUCUCAUAGCUUAACUAUGAAACUGCCAUUGAUACUGCAGGU
rnacentral:rRNA from 1 species